rnacentral:tRNA from 2 species
GGUAGGAUGGCUGAGUUUUUAAGCGGUGGAUUGUAGCCCCAUAAACAGAGGUUCGAGCCCUUCUUCUUACCA